rnacentral:rRNA from 1 species
UUGUAAUUUGAAGAUGGUAACUUUGGAGUUGGCCCUUGUCUAUGUUCCUUGGAACAGGACGUCACAGAGGGUGAGAAUCCCGUCUGGCGAGGUGAUCCAGCUCCAUGUAAAGUGCUAUCGAAGAGUCGAGUUGUUUGGGAAUGCAGCUCUAAGUGGGUGGUAAAUUCCAUCUAAAGCUAAAUAUUGGCGAGAGACCGAUAGCGAACAAGUACAGUGAUGGAAAGAUGAAAAGAACUUUGAAAAGAGAGUGAAAAAGUACGUGAAAUUGUUGAAAGGGAAGGGUAUUAGAUCAGACUUGGUGUUUUACGAUUAUCUUCCCUUCUUGGGUUGUGCACUCGUUUUGCACUGGGCCAGCAUCGAUUCGGGCGGCAAGAUAAUGGCAAUUGAAUGUGGCAUGCCUUCGGGGAUGUGUUAUAGCUUUUGUUGAUGUUGCCUGCCUGGAUCGAGGACUGCGUCUUUUGACU